rnacentral:rRNA from 1 species
GAUGAACGCUAGCUACAGGCUUAACACAUGCAAGUCGAGGGGAAACGACAUCGAAAGCUUGCUUUUGAUGGGCGUCGACCGGCGCACGGGUGAGUAACGCGUAUCCAACCUGCCCAUCACUUGGGAAUAACCUUGCGAAAGUAAGACUAAUACCCAAUGACAUCCCACGAAGACAUCUGAAUGGGAUUAAAGAUUUAUCGGUGACGGAUGGGGAUGCGUCUGAUUAGCUUGUUGGCUGGGUAACGGCCCACCAAGGCAACGAUCAGUAGGGGUUCUGAGAGGAAGGUCCCCCACAUUGGAACUGAGACGCGGUCCAAACUCCUACGGGAGGCAGCAGUGAGGAAUAUUGGUCAAUGGGCGAGAGACUGAACCAGCCAAGUAGCGUGCAGGAUGACGGCCCUAUGGGUUGUAAACUGCUUUUAUAAGGGAAUAAAGUGGGUCUCGUGAGACUUUUUGCAUGUACCUUAUGAAUAAGGACCGGCUAAUUCCGUG